AAGCUUGGUGCUUGCACCGAGCGGAUGAGUUGCGAACGGGUGAGUAACGCGUAGGUAACCUGCCUCUUAGCGGGGGAUAACUAUUGGAAACGAUAGCUAAUACCGCAUAAAAGUCGAUAUCGCAUGAUAUUGAUUUGAAAGGUGCAAUUGCAUCACUAAGAGAUGGACCUGCGUUGUAUUAGCUAGUUGGUGAGGUAACGGCUCACCAAGGCGACGAUACAUAGCCGACCUGAGAGGGUGAUCGGCCACACUGGGGCUGAGACACGGCCCAGACUCCUACGGGAGGCAGCAGUAGGGAAUCUUCGGCAAUGGACGGAAGUCUGACCGAGCAACGCCGCGUGAGUGAAGAAGGUUUUCGGAUCGUAAAGCUCUGUUGUAAGAGAAGAACGAGUGUGAGAGUGGAAAGUUCACACUGUGACGGUAACUUACCAGAAAGGGACGGCUAACUACGUGCCAGCAGCCGCGGUAAUACGUAGGUCCCGAGCGUUAUCCGGAUUUAUUGGGCGUAAAGCGAGCGCAGGCGGUUAGAUAAGUCUGAAGUUAAAGGCUGUGGCUUAACCAUAGUACGCUUU
rnacentral:rRNA from 1 species